rnacentral:rRNA from 1 species
UUAAGCGACUAAGCGUACACGGUGGAUGCCCUGGCAGUCAGAGGCGAUGAAGGACGUGCUAAUCUGCGAUAAGCGUCGGUAAGGUGAUAUGAACCGUUAUAACCGGCGAUUUCCGAAUGGGGAAACCCAGUGUGAUUCGUCACACUAUCAUUAACUGAAUCCAUAGGUUAAUGAGGCGAACCGGGGGAACUGAAACAUCUAGUACCCCGAGGAAAAGAAAUCAACCGAGAUUCCCCCAGUAGCGGCGAGCGAACGGGGAGGAGCCCAGAGCCUGAAUCAGUGUGUGUUAGUGGAAGCGUCUGGAAAGGCGCGCGAUACAGGGUGACAGCCCCGUACACAAAAAUGCACAUGCUGUGAGCUCGAUGAGUAGGGCGGGACACGUGGUAUCCUGUCUGAAUAUGGGGGGACCAUCCUCCAAGGCUAAAUACUCCUGACUGACCGAUAGUGAACCAGUACCGUGAGGGAAAGGCGAAAAGAACCCCGGCGAGGGGAGUGAAAAAGAACCUGAAACCGUGUACGUACAAGCAGUGGGAGCCUCCUUAUGGGGUGACUGCGUACCUUUUGUAUAAUGGGUCAGCGACUUAUAUUCUGUAGCAAGGUUAACCGAAUAGGGGAGCCGAAGGGAAACCGAGUCUUAACUGGGCGUUAAGUUGCAGGGUAUAGACCCGAAACCCGGUGAUCUAGCCAUGGGCAGGUUGAAGGUUGGGUAACACUAACUGGAGGACCGAACCGACUAAUGUUGAAAAAUUAGCGGAUGACUUGUGGCUGGGGGUGAAAGGCCAAUCAAACCGGGAGAUAGCUGGUUCUCCCCGAAAGCUAUUUAGGUAGCGCCUCGUGAAUUCAUCUCCGGGGGUAGAGCACUGUUUCGGCAAGGGGGUCAUCCCGACUUACCAACCCGAUGCAAACUGCGAAUACCGGAGAAUGUUAUCACGGGAGACACACGGCGGGUGCUAACGUCCGUCGUGAAGAGGGAAACAACCCAGACCGCCAGCUAAGGUCCCAAAGUCAUGGUUAAGUGGGAAACGAUGUGGGAAGGCCCAGACAGCCAGGAUGUUGGCUUAGAAGCAGCCAUCAUUUAAAGAAAGCGUAAUAGCUCACUGGUCGAGUCGGCCUGCGCGGAAGAUGUAACGGGGCUAAACCAUGCACCGAAGCUGCGGCAGCGACGCUUAUGCGUUGUUGGGUAGGGGAGCGUUCUGUAAGCCUGCGAAGGUGUGCUGUGAGGCAUGCUGGAGGUAUCAGAAGUGCGAAUGCUGACAUAAGUAACGAUAAAGCGGGUGAAAAGCCCGCUCGCCGGAAGACCAAGGGUUCCUGUCCAACGUUAAUCGGGGCAGGGUGAGUCGACCCCUAAGGCGAGGCCGAAAGGCGUAGUCGAUGGGAAACAGGUUAAUAUUCCUGUACUUGGUGUUACUGCGAAGGGUACGAGAAGGCUAUGUUGGCCGGGCGACGGUUGUCCCGGUUUAAGCGUGUAGGCUGGUUUUCCAGGCAAAUCCGGAAAAUCAAGGCUGAGGCGUGAUGACGAGGCACUACGGUGCUGAAGCAACAAAUGCCCUGCUUCCAGGAAAAGCCUCUAAGCAUCAGGUAACAUCAAAUCGUACCCCAAACCGACACAGGUGGUCAGGUAGAGAAUACCAAGGCGCUUGAGAGAACUCGGGUGAAGGAACUAGGCAAAAUGGUGCCGUAACUUCGGGAGAAGGCACGCUGAUAUGUAGGUGAAGCGACUUGCUCGUGGAGCUGAAAUCAGUCGAAGAUACCAGCUGGCUGCAACUGUUUAUUAAAAACACAGCACUGUGCAAACACGAAAGUGGACGUAUACGGUGUGACGCCUGCCCGGUGCCGGAAGGUUAAUUGAUGGGGUUAGCGGUAACGCGAAGCUCUUGAUCGAAGCCCCGGUAAACGGCGGCCGUAACUAUAACGGUCCUAAGGUAGCGAAAUUCCUUGUCGGGUAAGUUCCGACCUGCACGAAUGGCGUAAUGAUGGCCAGGCUGUCUCCACCCGAGACUCAGUGAAAUUGAACUCGCUGUGAAGAUGCAGUGUACCCGCGGCAAGACGGAAAGACCCCGUGAACCUUUACUAUAGCUUGACACUGAACAUUGAGCCUUGAUGUGUAGGAUAGGUGGGAGGCUUUGAAGUGUGGACGCCAGUCUGCAUGGAGCCGACCUUGAAAUACCACCCUUUAAUGUUUGAUGUUCUAACGUUGGCCCCUAAUCGGGGUUGCGGACAGUGUCUGGUGGGUAGUUUGACUGGGGCGGUCUCCUCCUAAAGAGUAACGGAGGAGCACGAAGGUUGGCUAAUCCUGGUCGGACAUCAGGAGGUUAGUGCAAUGGCAUAAGCCAGCUUGACUGCGAGCGUGACGGCGCGAGCAGGUGCGAAAGCAGGUCAUAGUGAUCCGGUGGUUCUGAAUGGAAGGGCCAUCGCUCAACGGAUAAAAGGUACUCCGGGGAUAACAGGCUGAUACCGCCCAAGAGUUCAUAUCGACGGCGGUGUUUGGCACCUCGAUGUCGGCUCAUCACAUCCUGGGGCUGAAGUAGGUCCCAAGGGUAUGGCUGUUCGCCAUUUAAAGUGGUACGCGAGCUGGGUUUAGAACGUCGUGAGACAGUUCGGUCCCUAUCUGCCGUGGGCGCUGGAGAACUGAGGGGGGCUGCUCCUAGUACGAGAGGACCGGAGUGGACGCAUCACUGGUGUUCGGGUUGUCAUGCCAAUGGCACUGCCCGGUAGCUAAAUGCGGAAGAGAUAAGUGCUGAAAGCAUCUAAGCACGAAACUUGCCCCGAGAUGAGUUCUCCCUGACUCCCUGAGAGUCCUGAAGGAACGUUGAAGACGACGACGUUGAUAGGCCGGGUGUGUAAGCGCAGCGAUGCGUUGAGCUAACCGGUACUAAUGAACCGUGAGGCUUAACCUU